rnacentral:rRNA from 1 species
AAUAUUGGGCAAUGGGGGAAACCCUGACCCAGCAAUGCCGCGUGAGAGAAGAAGGUUUUCGGAUUGUAAAUCUCUGUCCUUGGGGAAGAAACAAAUGACGGUACCCAGGGAGGAAGCCCCGGCUAACUACGUGCCAGCAGCCGCGGUAAUACGUAGGGGGCGAGCGUUGUCCGGAAUUACUGGGCGUAAAGGGCGCGUAGGCGGCCUGUCAAGUCUUGUGUGAAAAUCCUAUUUUCAAGAUAGGAGGUGCACAGGAAACUGGUGGGCUUGAGUGCAGGAGAGGGAAGUGGAAUUCCAAGUGUAGCGGUGAAAUGCGUAGAGAUUUGGAGGAACACCAGUGGCGAAGGCGACUUUCUGGACUGUAACUGACGCUGAGGCGCGAGAGCGUGGGGAGCAAACAGG